rnacentral:rRNA from 1 species
UACGUAGGGCGCAAGCGUUGUCCGGAAUUAUUGGGCGUAAAGAGCUCGUAGGCGGCUUGUCACGUCGGGUGUGAAAGACCGGGGCUUAACCCCGGUUCUGCAUUCGAUACGGGCUAGCUAGAGUGUGGUAGGGGAGAUCGAAUUCCUGGUGUAGCGGUGAAAUGCGCAGAUAUCAGGAGGAACACCGGUGGCGAAGGCGGAUCUCUGGGCCAUUACUGACGCUGAGGAGCGAAAGCGUGGGGAGCGAACAGG